rnacentral:rRNA from 1 species
GAGUUUGAUCCUGGCUCAGAUUGAACGCUGGCGGCAUGCUUUACACAUGCAAGUCGAACGGCAGCGCGGGGCAACCUGGCGGCGAGUGGCGAACGGGUGAGUAAUAUAUCGGAACGUACCCAAGAGUGGGGGAUAACGUAGCGAAAGUUACGCUAAUACCGCAUACGAUCCAAGGAUGAAAGCGGGGGACCGCAAGGCCUUGUGCUCCUGGAGCGGCCGAUAUCUGAUUAGCUAGUUGGUAGGGUAAGGGCCUACCAAGGCUACGAUCAGUAGCUGGUCUGAGAGGACGACCAGCCACACUGGAACUGAGACACGGUCCAGACUCCUACGGGAGGCAGCAGUGGGGAAUUUUGGACAAUGGGCGCAAGCCUGAUCCAGCAAUGCCGCGUGAGUGAAGGAGGCCUUCGGGUUGUAAAGCUCUUUUGUCAGGGAAGAAACGGUGGGAACUAAUAUCUCUCACUAAUGACGGUACCUGAAGAAUAAGCACCGGCUAACUACGUGCCAGCAGCCGCGGUAAUACGUAGGGUGCAAGCGUUAAUCGGAAUUACUGGGCGUAAAGCGUGCGCAGGCGGUUUUGUAAGUCUGAUGUGAAAUCCCCGGGCUCAACCUGGGAAUUGCAUUGGAGACUGCAAGGCUAGAAUCUGGCAGAGGGGGGUAGAAUUCCACGUGUAGCAGUGAAAUGCGUAGAGAUGUGGAGGAACACCGAUGGCGAAGGCAGCCCCCUGGGUCAAGAUUGACGCUCAUGCACGAAAGCGUGGGGAGCAAACAGGAUUAGAUACCCUGGUAGUCCACGCCCUAAACGAUGUCUACUAGUUGUCGGGUUUUAAUUAACUUGGUAACGCAGCUAACGCGUGAAGUAGACCGCCUGGGGGAGUACGGUCGCAAGAUUAAAACUCAAAGGAAUUGACGGGGACCCGCACAAGCGGUGGAUGAUGUGGAUUAAUUCGAUGCAACGCGGAAAACCUUACCUACCCUUGACAUGUACGGAAGCCACGAGAGAUCGAGGUGUGCUCGAAAGAGAACCGUAACACAGGUGCUGCAUGGCUGUCGUCAGCUCGUGUCGUGAGAUGUUGGGUUAAGUCCCGCAACGAGCGCAACCCUUGUCAUUAGUUGCUACGAAAGGGCACUCUAAUGAGACUGCCGGUGACAAACCGGAGGAAGGUGGGGAUGACGUCAAGUCCUCAUGGCCCUUAUGGGUAGGGCUUCACACGUCAUACAAUGGUACAUACAGAGGGCCGCCAACCCGCGAGGGGGAGCUAAUCCCAGAGAGUGUAUCGUAGUCCGGAUUGUAGUCUGCGACUCGACUACAUGAAGUUGGAAUCGCUAGUAAUCGCGGAUCAGCAUGUCGCGGUGAAUACGUUCCCGGGUCUUGUACACACCGCCCGUCACACCAUGGGAGCGGGUUUUACCAGAAGUAGGUAGCUUAACCGCAAGGAGGGCGCUUACCACGGUAGGAUUCGUGACUGGGGUGAAGUCGUAACAAGGUAACC